ensembl:lncRNA
GCACUGAAGUGAGAAAGUCCCGAACAGGCUGUGCUUCCUGGACGUGUUGUUCCCAAGGACGUAAGCUUGAGUAUUGCCUUGUUCGCCAGGAGUGGUAGCUGGGAGGCAAGAGGAAACCCCCAACUGCGCUAUGUCUGAAUGAACAUUACGGGAGGAUUUUCCUGUGAUUAAAUGCUCCGACGGUCUGAGACAGAAUUAUCAGAAAGGCCCAGGUGAGGAGGACCUUUAGGGUAGCCUCUCCCAGGAGGUGAUGUUUGUGCAGAAGCGUGAAUGAUGUAUGGCAAGAGAUCGAGGUCAGAAGGAGUUCGAGGGGAGCCCAAGGCAUGGGAUGCACAGCAAGGGUCCUGUCUGAGACUUCUUACACCUGUGCUGCGUUCUGAUCACCACCAUCAUCACCACCACCGAGCACCGACUCUGUGCUGGGCCCUGGGCUAACGCUUUCAUUUCCAGAUGACCCUGUGCGCAGGAUAGAAUUUCCAGUCUGCUUGGAUGACAUUAUUUCUAUCAUCCUCUUGCUCACUGGGCAAGAGGAGAAGGGGAUGACAGAGGAGAUGGUUGGAUGGCAUCACGGACUCAAUCGCCAUGAGUCUGAGCAAACUCCAGGAGACAGUGAAGGACGGAGGAACCUGGCGUGCUGCAGUCCAUGGGGUCGCAGAGAAUCAGACAUGACUGAGCGACUGCACAACAACUUUCUCACUGUAAAUUCUCUUACCACUUUGCCCUUUUGCUGCUCCUGCUGGGCCAAACCCCAGCCCCAGAUGGCUGUGGGGCAGAAUCGCUCCAACAAAGGGUCCGGUGUUUCCCUGUGGUGCGUUUCCUUCCCCCUCUCCCGCUUGUGCUCAAAAUCCCCUUCCAUCCCUCACUCGCAAGGCUGUUUUCCAUUUCCCCAGAGAUGGAGGGAAGAGAGACCGCAGCGACCAAAGGAGGACCAUGGGGUGGGCGGGGUUGAAGGGGAGGAAAGAGACUGCAGUGCUCACUGGUGCUCAGCAGUACUCCAUCGUGAACCUCCCUUGCCCUCACAAGGCCUUGGCUGACCUGUAGACACCCUCUGCUGGCCCACUGAGGCAGGGAGCUUGGCUGCCCUACAGUGCUGGACUCAGGAGAACAGACCACGAAGAUCAGGAGUCAGCGUUGGGCACGUAGAAGGCUAGGUCCCUGAAGACAUCCAGGAGGAGAUGAGAAGGCCAGUGGAUAGACUGAUCUGGAAUCUGGGAGAAUGAUCUUGGUAAACGACUUAACUUGAGAACAAAGUCUAGGUUAUGGGAUCAAAUGUGACCACUCAGGAAAUAUGUAUGAAGGAGAAGAGAGGCCGGAAAUGGAGCUUUGAGAAAUACCACACCUACAGGAUAGGGGUGCUGGUGGUAAAGAAUCUGUCUGCUAAUGAAGGAGACACAGGAGACGCACGAGUUGAGGGUUUGAUCCCUGGGUCGGGAAGAUCCCCUGGAGGAGGAAAUGGCAACCACUCCAGUAUUCUUGCCUGGGAAAUUCCAUGGACAGAGGAGCCUGGCAGUCUGCAGUCCAUGGGGUUGCAAAGAGUUGCACACGACUGAGCACACUCACACUCACACACACACACACAUACAGGAUAGUCAUUGGAAGAAGAGCUUUUCUGAGUUUUCCUGUCUGUAAAGUGGAUAUGAUGAUGCAAGUUGCUGUAAAGAUAUAAUAAACACUUAAUAUGUCACUUAAUAUAUAACACUUAA